CCUUUACUUUCGGUUUUGUUGUGUACACCAGCUGAAAAUACAAUAUUUUUGGUUAUAAAAAAUAUAUUUCACAGCGGUUUAGAUGGUACAAUUAUUUGCGACACAAUGACUGCCUGUUAUCUCACAACUGAAAUUAGGCAAACUAUUUUAAUUUUAGCAACCAGGAAAUGGAAAGAUUAAUGCAUAUUCCACCUUUGAGAAAUUAAAUGUUAUUCUUUUGAGCUCAUGGUGUAGCCAAUGAGGCGGAGAAGCUGGAGGAGGACAGGAAGAAGGUGAAGUGCCGCAAGAAAUCUGAAAUAGGGCAAUGAUUGACCCCCCAGUACCGUACCCACCUGAAGAGGAAAGCACAGGUGGCUCUGGGGGAGCUGGAGGCAGACUGCAGGAUCCUGGGAGUCCUGCUGGAGAGUGCACGUCUGGAGGGAAUUGAAGCACAUCAAGGAGCAACUCCAGCUGGAAAAGGAAGCAGAGUUUGUCGUCCUGUACAGGUCGGUAAUAGCAUGAGCAGUCCCGGAGGCUGCAGGAGGAUGAGUGGAGACUGCAGGAGGAUGGGUGGAGGCUGCAGGAGGAUGAGUGGAGGCUGUAGGAGGAUAAGUGGAGGCUGCAGGAGGAUGAGUGGAGGCUGUAGGAGGAUAAGUGGAGGCUGCAGGAGGAUGAGGGGAGGCUGCCGACCCAGAGGAUGUCCUAGCAGGGCUAACAGGACAAGGUCCUGAACCAGGAUGUGUGUUCUGAAUUGCUAAAUCACUUGAUUAGUUGUGUCCCAUGUUCAUACUCGUCUUUCUCUCGUAGAUUCAACACAGAACCCGUUCAGCCUGGACAUGAAGAAGUUGUGAGGCCAAAAGGACACGGCACAAUCAUAUGUUCUUAUACAUUUGUACAAAGAAUGAAGUAUACCAACUUCAUGCUUAUAUGUUAAUUGCUGAAUGUGGUGGUUGUUAGUUUUGUUACAUAUUUAGCAAAAUGAUGAGGGAUAGUUUAUAAUUCAAAGAAUCAUUUUUAAAAAAUCUAUAAACAAGACUUAAGAUUGUGAGUUUUAGUUAUGUAAUUAAAACAUCUAUUUUC